GUUGGUCUUUUACUUGCAGUUGUCAGCAGCAGACUUAUAAACGGAAGAAAUAUUGUCCCCCAUUAAGAAACAUUACUGACUGUAAACGCAUUAAGACCUCUAUGAAUUGUCACAAAACUUACCCAGUUGUAAGUUAUCACCAGCAUAUUCAGCUCCCUAUAGGAUGGACAUUUUCCUGUGCCACCUCCCGCCUGACCAUGACCAUGUUCUCCAAAU